rnacentral:rRNA from 1 species
UACGGAGGGUGCGAGCGUUGUCCGGAAUCACUGGGCGUAAAGGGCGCGUAGGCGGCUUCUCAAGCGUGUGGUGAAAGUCCAGGGCUCAACCCUGGAAAGCCGGUGGAAACUGUCGAGCUCGAGUCCGGAAGAGGCGAGUGGAAUUCCUGGUGUAGCGGUGAAAUGCGCAGAUAUCAGGAGGAACACCAAUGGCGAAGGCAGCUCGCUGGGACGGUACUGACACUGAGACGCGAAAGCGUGGGGAGCAAACAGG